GUGGACCUACGGGAGGCAGCAGUGGGGAAUAUUGCACAAUGGGGGAAACCCUGAUGCAGCGACGCCGCGUGAGUGAGGAAGUAUUUCGGUAUGUAAAGCUCUAUCAGCAGGGAAGAAAAUGACGGUACCUGACUAAGAAGCCCCGGCUAACUACGUGCCAGCAGCCGCGGUAAUACGUAGGGGGCAAGCGUUAUCCGGAUUUACUGGGUGUAAAGGGAGCGUAGACGGAGGAGCAAGUCUGAUGUGAAAAUCCGGGGGCUCAACCCCCGAACUGCAUUUGAAACUGUUGGUCUUGAGUAUCGGAG
rnacentral:rRNA from 1 species